AAGGAUUUAAGUUAAAAAAACUAUUGACCUUCAAAGUCAAAAUUAAGAUUAUUCUUAAGCCUUA